rnacentral:rRNA from 1 species
GUGCACGCUGGCGGUAGGCCUAACACAUGCAAGUCGCACGGCAGCACAGUAAGAGCUUGCUCUUACGGGUGGCGAGUGGCGGACGGGUGAGGAAUACAUCGGAAUCUACUUUUUCGUGGGGGAUAACGUAGGGAAACUUACGCUAAUACCGCAUACGACCUACGGGUGAAAGCAGGGGAUCUUCGGACCUUGCGCGAUUGAAUGAGCCGAUGUCGGAUUAGCUAGUUGGCGGGGUAAAGGCCCACCAAGGCGACGAUCCGUAGCUGGUCUGAGAGGAUGAUCAGCCACACUGGAACUGAGACACGGUCCAGACUCCUACGGGAGGCAGCAGUGGGGAAUAUUGGACAAUGGGCGCAAGCCUGAUCCAGCCAUACCGCGUGGGUGAAGAAGGCCUUCGGGUUGUAAAGCCCUUUUGCUGGGAAAGAAAAGCAGCAGGUUAAUACCCCGCUGUUCUGACGGUACCCAAAGAAUAAGCACCGGCUAACUUCGUG